GCUUUAUAUCGUUCUUGUUUUGUGCUCCAACAAUUACAGACAGGCCAAAAUCCGAAAGCUGAACCCACAACACAAAAGGAGAAGAAUUUCAGGUUUGCAGUGCUCAUGCAGAUAUUCUAAUCCUCUGCUCAACAGUUUUCAAAUGUCAGAAACACUCACAAGCAGGAAGCCCAAAACAAUGAGAAAUUAUCAGCCACUCCCAAUUUUCUCGUACACAAUAAGCCUUGAUUCUCCAUGAAUGGUGUAACCCAGAAGGCGGAUGAUGUUUGAGUGCUGAAUUUUGCUCAAUAGAUCAACUUCAUUCUGCCAAAUUUCAAGGUAUGGAGUUCAGUUUUCUUGUUGAUUGCUAGAGAAUAUAAGGAAUCAAAGAAACAGAACCUCAAAUUCUUUCUCUGCGUCCUUGUCGUUACAUUCUAGUUUCUUCACAGCAACAUAAAGGUUUUGUUCUAAACGAGCCUUGUAAACCCU